rnacentral:rRNA from 1 species
UACGUAGGCAGCGAGCGUUGUUCGGAGUUACUGGGCGUAAAGGGUGUGUAGGUGGUUGUUUAAGUUUGGUGUGAAAUCUCCCGGCUCAACUGGGAGGGUGCGCCGAAUACUGAAUGACUUGGAGUGCGGGAGAGGAGAGUGGAAUUCCUGGUGUAGCGGUGAAAUGCGUAGAUAUCAGGAGGAACACCGGUGGUGUAGACGGCUCUCUGGACCGUAACUGACGCUGAGACACGAAAGCGUGGGUAGCAAACAGG